rnacentral:rRNA from 1 species
ACACGCUGGCGGCGUGCCUAACACAUGCAAGUCGAGCGGAGACAGUGAGUAGCUUGCUAUGAGCUGUUUUAGCGGCGGACGGGUGAGUAACGCGUGGGUAACCUGCCUUAUACAGGGGGAUAACAGUUAGAAAUGACUGCUAAUACCGCAUAAGCGCACAGGAUUGCAUGAUCUGGUGUGAAAAACUCCGGUGGUAUAAGAUGGACCCGCGUCUGAUUAGCUAGUUGGUGAGAUAACAGCCCACCAAGGCGACGAUCAGUAGCCGACCUGAGAGGGUGACCGGCCACAUUGGGACUGAGACACGGCCCAGACUCCUACGGGAGGCAGCAGUGGGGAAUAUUGCACAAUGGAGGAAACUCUGAUGCAGCGACGCCGCGUGAGUGAAGAAGUAAUUCGUUAUGUAAAGCUCUAUCAGCAGGGAAGAUAGUGACGGUACCUGACUAAGAAGCUCCGGCUAAAUACGUG